rnacentral:rRNA from 1 species
GACGAACGCUGGCGGCGUGCCUAACACAUGCAAGUCGAACGGAAAGGCCCUGCUUUUGUGGGGUGCUCGAGUGGCGAACGGGUGAGUAACACGUGAGUAACCUGCCCUUGACUUUGGGAUAACUUCAGGAAACUGGGGCUAAUACCGGAUAGGAGCUCCUGCUGCAUGGUGGGGGUUGGAAAGUUUCGGCGGUUGGGGAUGGACUCGCGGCUUAUCAGCUUGUUGGUGGGGUAGUGGCUUACCAAGGUUUUGACGGGUAGCCGGCCUGAGAGGGUGACCGGCCACAUAGGGACUGAGAUGCGACCCAGACUCCAACGGGAGGCAGCGGUGGGGGAUAGUGCACAAUGGGCGGAAGGCUGGUGCAACAACGCCGCGUGGGGGAUGACGGCCUUCGGGUUGUAAACCGCUUUCGCCUGGGACGAAGCGUGAGUGACGGUAAUGGGUAAAGAAGCACCGGCUAACUACGUG